UGAAUAUGACUAGGUUGUAUGGUCUAAUUAUUAUAAAUUAGAACGGAUACUUGAACCUGUUCUGAUUAGGAAGGAAUGUUUGUAUUGCAAUUCGACGUAUUUCUUUUAUUUUCAGGUGUGCAUGUUCAUGUUGCACACCAUAUCGUGUGCAGAUUGAGUGCAAAUGCUGCACAGAAUACCCAGAGCUGAUGGAAAGGAUGGACGAGGCAGGGGUAAAGUGCAUAACUGAGCAUACUGGCUUCAAAGCUAACUGUCUCCAUCCAGAUGUCAUUGAAGUUUCGUUUUAUGAGUUCCUUGAUGUAAAUGGUCCCAUCGCAGCUCUGCCAUUAGUUCAUCAACAUAGUCUGAAAGUUAUAUUAAAAUAAAUUAUAAUUAUUGAUAAAAUGUUCCUUCUUAUUAGAGAAUAAUAAACAAUGAAUGUUU